CUCACUUAAACUAUAUUUCUGCUUCUAGGUUGUGAAAUUGAGCUUGCAAACAGGAGUACCUUCGGAGUAUACCAACUUGAUUUUGGUAGAAAAUAAAAAGGAGAGGCAGACCUCUAAAUUAGAGGUAACGGAUGAGAAGACCUCGGACUUGAAUGUCAAGAAAGUCAUAUACCUUCGAGCGCUAGGUUUGGGUUUCGGCAACUUGAAGGCCACAGUAGACAAUCUUCCUGUGGAAGCAGCAGAACCCAAAUUGCAUGAAACUUCAGAAAUGGUAUUUGCAGCUGCUUCAAGCUUAUGCGGCAAACUAUGUGACUGUUGCUGUUGCAUGUGUUUCAUACAGUUCUGUUCUCGGGUAAAUGAUCGAUGUGCUGUUACUUUAGCACAGCUUUGUACAGCACUUGCUUGUUUUGAGUGUAUUAGUUUUUGUUGUGAAGUCUGUGGAGAAUGCGGCUAAUGGCAGCAACUACAUAACCAGAGGUGUAUCAGAUAUGUAGUUGGGUCGUCAUUUCUUAUAUGUAUAUAGUUGUAAUAAGAUACUUGAAGAAAUAAAAUAUAGAAGCUGAGAGUGUAAAUUUACAGCUUCAAGUGCGAGUCGGACUGCUGCAACAGUGGUCACUUAACUAGUCGUUUCUUGUCUUAUAUUGACGUAUAAUCUUUGUCCCUU